UACGUAGGUGACUAGCGUUGUCCGGAUUUACUGGGCGUAAAGAGCGCGCAGGCGGUCGUUCAAGUCGAGUGUGAAAGCCCCCGGCUCAACUGGGGAGGGUCAUUCGAUACUGAUCGACUCGAAGGCAGGAGAGGGAAGCGGAAUUCCCGGUGUAGUGGUGAAAUGCGUAGAUAUCGGGAGGAACACCAGUGGCGAAGGCGGCUUGACCAGAACGCGCUCGACGGUGAGGGAUG
rnacentral:rRNA from 1 species